rnacentral:rRNA from 1 species
UACGUAGGGUGCGAGCGUUGUCCGGAAUUACUGGGCGUAAAGGGCGCGUAGGCGGCCUUCUAAGUCAUGCGUGAAAUCCCUGGGCUCAACCCAGGAACUGCGUCUGAUACUGGAAGGCUUGAAUCCGGGAGAGGGAUGUGGAAUUCCAGGUGUAGCGGUGAAAUGCGUAGAUAUCUGGAGGAACACCGGUGGCGAAGGCGGCAUCCUGGACCGGUAUUGACGCUGAGGCGCGAAAGCCAGGGGAGCAAACGGG